GAUGAACGCUGGCGGCGUGCUUAACACAUGCAAGUCGAGCGAAGCACUUAAGUUUGAUUCUUCGGAUGAGGACUUUUGUGACCGAGCGGCGGACGGGUGAGUAACGCGUGGGUAACCUGCCUCAUACAGGGGGAUAACAGUUAGAAAUGGCUGCUAAUACCGCAUAAGACCACAGUACUGCAUGGUACAGUGGUAAAAACUCCGGUGGUAUGAGAUGGACCCGCGUCUGAUUAGGUAGUUGGUGAGGUAACGGCCCACCAAGCCGACGAUCAGUGGCCGACCUGAGAGGGUGACCGGCCACAUUGGGACUGAGACACGGCCCAGACUCCUACGGGAGGCAGCAGUGGGGAAUAUUGCACAAUGGGCGAAAGCCUGAUGCAGCGACGCCGCGUGAAGGAUGAAGUAUUUCGGUAUGUAAACUUCUAUCAGCAGGGAAGAAAAUGACGGUACCUGACUAAGAAGCCCCGGCUAACUACGUGCCAGCAGCCGCAGUAA
rnacentral:rRNA from 1 species